rnacentral:rRNA from 1 species
AGUGAACGCUGGCGGUAGGCCUAACACAUGCAAGUCGAACGGCAGCACAGAGGAGCUUGCUCCUUGAGUGGCGAGUGGCGGACGGGUGAGGAAUACAUCGGAAUCUACUCUGUCGUGGGGGAUAACGUAGGGAAACUUACGCUAAUACCGCAUACGACCUACGGGUGAAAGCAGGGGACCUUCGGGCCUUGCGCGAUUGAAUGAGCCGAUGUCGGAUUAGCUAGUUGGCGGGGUAAAGGCCCACCAAGGGGACGAUCCGUAGCUGGUCUGAGAGGAUGAUCAGCCACACUGGAACUGAGGCACGGUCCAGACUCCUACGGGAGGCAGCAGUGGGGAAUAUUGGACAAUGGGCGCAAGCCUGAUCCAGCCAUACCGCGUGGGUGAAGAAGGCCUUCGGGUUGUAAAGCCCUUUUGUUGGGAAAGAAAUCCAGCUGGCUAAUACCCGGUUGGGACGACGGUACCCAAAGAAUAAGCACCGGCUAACUUCGUGCCAGCCGCCGCAGUAA